rnacentral:misc_RNA from 1 species
UCCGGCUUAUCACCGGCAGUCCCUUUAGAGUGCCCAACUGAAUGGUGGCAACUAAAGGCGAGGGUUGCGCUCGUUGCGGGACUUAACCCAACAUCUCACGACACGAGCUGAUGACAGCCAUGCAGCACCUGUCACCGCGUCCCCUUGCGGGGAACCCUGGAUCUCUCCAGGUAGCGCGGGAUGUCAAGCCCAGGUAAGGUUCUUCGCGUUGCGUCGAAUUAAACCACAUGCUCCGCUGCUUGUGCGGGCCCCCGUCAAUUCCUUUGAGUUUUAGCCUUGCGGCCGUACUCCCCAGGCGGGGCACUUAUCGCGUUAGCUGCGGCACCGAGGGGGUCGAUACCCCCGACACCUAGUGCUCAUCGUUUACGGCGUGGACUAC